rnacentral:misc_RNA from 1 species
GAUGAAGAACGUAGCGAAAUGCGAUAAGUAAUGUGAAUUGCAGAAUUCAGUGAAUCAUCGAAUCUUUGAACGCACAUUGCGCCCAUUAGUAUUCUAGUGGGCAUGCCUGUUCGAGCGUCAUUAAGUCCACUUAAGCCCUGCUUAGUGUUGGGAGACUGCUCCAGCGGUGCUACCCUGUAGCUACCCUGCAGCUCCUCAAAGACAGCGGCGGAGUUGUGGUAUCCUCUGAGCUUAGUAACUUGUUCUAGCUUUCGAGUACACCACUUCCCCUGCCGUAAAACCCUCAAUUUUUAAUGGUUGACCUCGGAUCAGGUAGGAAUACCCGCUGAACUUAAGCAUAUCAUAAGCGGAGGA